AUCUACCUUUUACAGAGGGAUAGCCCAGAGAAAUUUGGAUUAAUACCUCAUAGUAUAGUGAGUUGGCAUCAACACACUAUUAAAGUCACAACGGUAAAAGAUGAGCAUGCGUCCCAUUAGCUAGUUGGUAAGGUAACGGCUUACCAAGGCAACGAUGGGUAGGGGUCCUGAGAGGGAGAUCCCCCACACUGGUACUGAGACACGGACCAGACUCCUACGGGAGGCAGCAGUGAGGAAUAUUGGUCAAUGGGCGCAAGCCUGAACCAGCCAUGCCGCGUGCAGGAUGACGGUCCUAUGGAUUGUAAACUGCUUUUGCACAGGAAGAAACACUCGGUCGUGACCGAGCUUGACGGUACUGUGAGAAUAAGGAUCGGCUAACUCCGUGCCAGCAGCCGCGGUAAUACGGAGGAUCCAAGCGUUAUCCGGAAUCAUUGGGUUUAAAGGGUCCGUAGGCGGCCAGAUAAGUCAG
rnacentral:rRNA from 1 species